AAACUUGAGAGUUUGAUCAUGGCUCAGAACGUACGCUGGCGGCACGCCUAACACAUGCAAGUCGAACGAAGUAGCAAUACUUAGUGGCAGACGGGUGAGUAACAUGUAGGUAUCUACCCCAUGGCCUGGAAUAACACGAGGAAACUUGUGCUAAUACCGGAUAAGUCUUUACGGAGAAAGCUUUAUGCACCAUUGGAUGAGCCUGCACUUGAUUAGUUUGUUGGUAGGGUAAUGGCCUACCAAGACUGUGAUCAAUAGCUGAUUUGAGAGGAUGAUCAGCCACAUUGGGACUGAGACACGGCCCAAACUCCUACGGGAGGCAGCAGUGGGGAAUCUUGCACAAUGGAGGAAACUCUGAUGCAGCGAUGCCGCGUGAGUGAAGAAGGCCCUUGGGUUGUAAAGCUCUUUCGUCGGGGAAGAAAAUGACUGUACCCGAAUAAGAAGGUCCGGCUAACUUCGUGCCAGCAGCCGCGGUAAUACGAAGGGACCUAGCGUAGUUCGGAAUUACUGGGCUUAAAGAGUUCGUAGGUGGUUGAAAAAGUUGGUGGUGAAAUCCCAGAGCUUAACUCUGGAACUGCCAUCAAAACUUUUCAGCUAGAGUUUGAUAGAGGAAAGCAGAAUUUCUAGUGUAGAGGUGAAAUUCGUAGAUAUUAGAAAGAAUACCAAUUGCGAAGGCAGCUUUCUGGAUCAUUACUGACACUGAGGAACGAAAGCAUGGGUAGCGAAGAGGAUUAGAUACCCUCGUAGUCCAUGCCGUAAACGAUGUGUGUUAGACGUUGGAAAUUUAUUUUCAGUGUCGCAGCGAAAGCGAUAAACACACCGCCUGGGGAGUACGACCGCAAGGUUAAAACUCAAAUGAAUUGACGGGGACCCGCACAAGUAGUGGAGCAUGUGGUUUAAUUCGAAGAUACGCGCAGAACCUUACCAACACUUGACAUGUUCGUCGCGACUUUAAGAGAUUAAAGUUUUCGGUUCGGCCGGACGAAACACAGGUGCUGCAUGGCUGUCGUCAGCUCGUGUCGUGAGAUGUUGGGUUAAGUCCCGCAACGAGCGCAACCCUUACUUUUAGUUGCCAUCAUUUAGUUGGGCACUCUGAAAGAACUGCCAGUGAUAAGCUGGAGGAAGGUGGGGAUGACGUCAAGUCCUCAUGGCCCUUACGUGUUGGGCUACACACGUGCUACAAUGGUAUCUACAACAGGAAGCAAAACGGCGACGUUAAGCAAAUCCUCAAAAGAUACCUCAGUUCGGAUUGCACUCUGCAACUCGAGUGCAUGAAGCUGGAAUUACUAGUAAUCGUGGAUCAGCGUGCCACGGUGAAUGCGUUCCCGGGUCUUGUACACACCGCCCGUCACACCAUGGGAGUUGGUUCUACCUUAAGGCAAGGUUUAAUACCCUUGACCACGGUAUAGUCAGCGACUGGGGUGAAGUCGUAACAAGGUAGCCGUAGGGGAACCUGCGGCUGGAUUACCUCCUUU
rnacentral:rRNA from 1 species